rnacentral:lncRNA from 1 species
AUAUAUACUCAAUGAUAAAAUCAGCAUUGACAACAAUAAUAUUCACAAUCAUGAAAUAGAGACGCCAUUGUUUCAUUUUCAGAAACAUUCCGCCGCCAAUGUAGCAUUUUUGUUUUUAGUUUGAGUACGGGGUGAAUUGCUCAUAGGAGUUUUUCACAUUUAUUUAUAAAUUUACGAAUAAACUGUAAUUUGUAGCAUAUUGUUCUCAACUAACUCAUUGGAUUUUUUUUUCUAAUUAAAUUGAAAGAUGUUAAAAAUCAAAUAUUUAUACUAUAUUAAAAUGUAAAAUUUUUAAUUUGAAUUCAAUUUCAAAUUGAUUUUAAAAUUAUGUGAUGAAUUUGUAGUUAUAAUACAAUUAAAAGUUUAUAUAUAAACAAAUUCAAAAAAAAGUUUAUAUAUAAACAAUAUAUUUUAUUUCUUUUUCUUUAUUUUUUAUUUUUCUUGUUUUAUUUCUUUUUAAAAUUUUAAAAUUCGACUAAUUACAAAAUAUUAAUAUGCAUAUCAAAUUAAAGAUCACGAUACAAAUUUUAAUUUAAUAUAUUUUAUAUAAAUAUUUGAUUUAAAUUUAAUAAUUUUAUUUAUGUAAAUAUUAAUGUGUGAGGUUUUGAGUUUAAUCCUAUCUAUAAGCAGUGUAGUGUUCCUAUUUUUGUAUGGAUAGUGAUCGUUCCUACAUGCGGUUAUUUUCUCAUCUUUGUGUGUUGUAGAAAUCCCUGCUUGCGACUUGCUUAUUUGAU